rnacentral:sRNA from 1 species
AGCUCAGCAUGGCUCUCCUCCCAGCUUCACUGUCAGCUGUGCUUGAAGGAGAGGCUAGCGUCCAGGACAGCCCAGGCUCAGUCAUGAAAAGCUAUGUGUCAGAGACCAUGGCGAGCCCAGGGAAAGACAAUUAUCGAAUGAAGAGCUAUAAGAACAAUGCUCUAAACCCUGAAGAAAUGAGACGAAGAAGAGAGGAAGAGGGCAUUCAGCUCCGGAAGCAGAAGCGGGAGCAACAACUUUUUAAACGGCGAAAUGUGGAGCUGAUUAAUGAAGAAGCUGCCAUGUUCGAUAGUCUUCUCAUGGACUCUUAUGUGAGCUCUACCACUGGGGAGAGUGUGAUCACAAGAGAGAUGGUGGAGAUGCUCUUUUCUGAUGAUUCUGACCUGCAGUUAGCAACCACACAGAAAUUCCGGAAACUGCUCUCCAAAGAGCCUAGUCCUCCAAUAGAUGAAGUUAUCAACACUCCAAGAGUGGUGGAUCGGUUUGUGGAGUUUCUGAAGAGGAAUGAGAAUUGUACAUUACAGUUUGAAGCUGCCUGGGCUCUAACGAAUAUUGCCUCUGGAACCUCUCAGCAGACCAAAAUUGUCAUUGAAGCAGGGGCUGUCCCCAUUUUUAUAGAGCUGCUUAAUUCAGACUUUGAGGAUGUUCAGGAACAGGCAGUCUGGGCACUGGGAAACAUAGCUGGAGAUAGCUCUGUUUGCCGAGAUUACGUCUUGAACUGUUCCAUCCUUAAUCCUUUGUUAACACUCCUUACCAAGUCCACACGACUGACGAUGACACGGAAUGCGGUCUGGGCCCUGUCAAAUCUCUGCCGAGGGAAGAACCCACCCCCAGAGUUUGCAAAGGUCUCUCCUUGUUUGCCUGUACUGUCUCGCCUAC